rnacentral:rRNA from 1 species
UGGGGAAUAUUGCACAAUGGGGGAAACCCUGAUGCAGCGACGCCGCGUGAGCGAAGAAGGUUUUCGAAUCGUAAAGCUCUGUCCUAUGAGAAGAUAAUGACGGUAUCAUAGGAGGAAGCCCCGGCUAAAUACGUGCCAGCAGCCGCGGUAAUACGUAUGGGGCGAGCGUUGUCCGGAAUUAUUGGGCGUAAAGGGUACGUAGGCGGAUAAGCAAGUUAGAAGUGAAAUCCUAUAGCUCAACUAUAGUAAGCUCUUAAAACUGCUCAUCUUGAGGUAUGGAAGGGAAAGUGGAAUUCCUAGUUUAGCGGUGAAAUGCGCAGAUAUUAGGAGGAAUACCGGUGGCGAAGGCGACUUUCUGGCCAUAUACUGACGCUGAGGUACGAAAGCGUGGGUAGCAAACAGG